GAGAGUGGAUAGAGGUAAGCUACAGUGGUUAUUUUAGACUGGUAGAGUGUACAUGUAUGUUCAGAGACUGGAUAGAGGUAGCUACAGUGUUAUGUUUCAGAGACUGGAUAGAGGUAGCUACAGUGUUAUGGUUUCAGAGACUGGAUAGAGGUAGCUACAGUGUUAUGUUUCAGAGACUGGAUAGAGGUAGCUACAGUGUUAGGUUUCAGAGACUGGAUAGAGGUAGCUACAGUGUUAUUUCAGAGACGGGAUAGAGGUAGCUAAGUGUUAUGUUUCAAGACGGGAUAGAGGUAGCUA
rnacentral:lncRNA from 1 species